CAGCUCCAAAGAAACUACGGUAACCAGAUGUCCUGAUUUUAUAGGGACAGUCCUGAUAGUUGGAGCUUUGUCUUAUCUAAGUGCUAAUUACCCCCUAUCCUUGUCCCGAUUUUUCACCCUUGCUAUCUGGUCACCCUAUUGUUGAGGAGGGGAUAGAUGGAGGCCGCUGUGUUUACAGCGGUGGGGGAUUAC